AAAGUAUAUCAGCAUGUCGGAAAAUUUACAUGUUUACAGGAACAUCAUUAGGGCAACAAAUUCUUCAGCUGCGAACAAAGAGCUUUGCGGAAGAACAUUUAGCUGCACAGCUAAACCAACAAGACAGUAGUCCUCCAACACCAACAGCAGGUUGUGCAAAUUAUCAUGGAGUUGGAAGAAGGGUCGAAUUCUUACUCUGCAAAAGAGAUGAGGCCAUCAUUGUUGGUGUCGAAAAGCAUGAAAAACUUGGAAGGAGCACAACAUAGUUCUCCAGAAAUUCUUCUUUCUCCUCUUAGAAAGCCUUCUCUAACACGAUUGGACUCAGAUGGAGGAAAUACAGGAACAAUGGCCCUCAUCAGAUCUGAUGGUCUCAUAUAUAUUUCCCCUUCAGGUGUGUGAAUAGAGGCAAAAUAUUCAAACACCUUCUCAGGAGGACUUUGGAUUCUUAUACGUUUUUCAUAGUUGAAAAACACCCUUCUCCUAUAAUCAUCUGGCAUCCAGCAUAAAGUGUGAAUAAAUUGGUAACUUUACCCUAAACACAUUUAACUUAGAUUGCUUCAAGUUUAAUGGCAAAAAGGGGACAUUCUUACCUCCAAAUAGAAAUUUGGAUUUCUUCUUUGCAUUUAUAUUUUGAUUUGGUGAUGGGUAUUGGAAUUGAUCUUCUUUCACUGUUGUCCAUGUUGUUUCUUUAGGGAAUUCAGCAAACGAUAAAUGCGAAUUGGACGUGGAAGAAUUGGAGCUGAGAAGUGAUCCCACUCCGCCAAUCAAUAUCCCUGAAGAAAUCAAUUUGAUCAAGAACUCAAAUACAAAGUUUCUUCUAUUCUCGCCUCCGCAGCCAGUUUGUUGAGUUGUGAUCGACGAAGAAGAAGACAAUGGGGAUGUUGAUGGCGAUCCUAAAGAGCCACCAAGUUGAUUGUUGAGAAAACGAACAGUAAGGUGUUGAGAAGGUAUAACUCUACAGAUCGACUUAGAAGAUUUUGAAACCAAAAACGUCGAAGAAAACAUACUAUGCUUUAGAUCUACCUUGAGGUUCUUCCAAAUAUCAUCAAGAAAAAGGUAAUGGAAGGAGAAAAUUUGCAAAAUGAGAGACAGAGAACAACAAAAGGAGAGAUUAAUAGCUUUAGCAAAGUUGGAUACUAAAAUUGGGGCUUUGACUUCGCCAUUUGUUGAUAACGGUUUUUUUAAAAGUUAGUUGGCUUUUGUGUUUGAAUGAAUUAAUUUUUAGUAAAUUGGUUAAAUAUUCUUUGUUUAUUUAUUAAUA